rnacentral:lncRNA from 1 species
GCCUUUCCAGAUUAAAAAUAAAUAUUUUCUCUCUCUCCUGCUCUGUCUCUCCCUCUCUUUCCUUCUCUCUCUUCUCUCUCUUUCUUCUUCUCCCUCUCUCUCUGUCUCUCUGUCUCUCUUCUCUCUCCUUUCUCUUUCUCUGUCUCUCUGUUUUUCUCUGUCUCUGUUUCUGUUUUUCCCUCUCCCUCUCUCUCUCUUUCUCCCCUCCCUCCUCUCUUCCUUUCUCUCUUCUCUCUCUCUUUCUAGCGCUAUCUCUCUCUCCUCCCUCUUUCUCUGUCUCUGUUUCUGUCUCUCUCACUCUUUCUCUCCUCCCUCCUCUCUCUUCCUUUCUCUCUCUAUCUCUCUCCUCCCUCUUUCUCUGUCUCUGUUUCUGUCUCUUUCACUCUCUCUCCUCCCUCCUCUCUCUUCCUUUCUCUCUCUAUCUCUCUCCUCCCUCUUUCUCUGUCUCUCUGUUUUUCUCUGUCUCUGUUUCUAUCUCUCCCUCCCUCUCUCUCUUUCUCUCUUCCCUCCUCUCUCUUCCUUUCUUUCUUCUCUUUCUCUUUCUCUCUAUUUCUCUCUCCUCCCUCUUUCUCUAUCUCUCUUUUUCUUUGUCUCUGUUUCUGUCUCUCUCACUCUCUCCUCCCUCUUUCUCUGUCUCACUGUUUUUCUCUGUCUCUCUGUCUCCCUCUCUCCUCCCUCCUCUCUCUUCCUUUCUCUCUCUCUGACUCUCUCUCUCUCUUGCCUCCCUCUUUCUCUGUCUCUCUGUUUUUCUCUGUCUCUGUUUCUGUCUCUCCCUCCCUCUCUCUCUUUCUCUCCUCCCUCCUCUCUCUUCCUUUCUCUCUCUUCCUCUCUCUCUCUCCUUUUCUCUCUCUCUCACAUCCCUCUUUCUCUGUCUCUCUGUUUUUCUCUGUCUCUAUCUCCCUCUGUAAUAGAACCCCCCUCCAAAAAAGUUCACCUUCCUUUUUGAUUCUGAACUGGUGGUUCAACUGCUGUCAAUUCUCAUACCACCAAGCAGCCUCUGUG